rnacentral:rRNA from 1 species
UACAGAGGUCUCAAGCGUUUGUUCGGAUUCAUUGGGCGUAAAGCGCGCGUAGGCGGCCAGAUAAGUCCGGUGUGAAAAGUCACAGGCUCAACCUGUGAAUGCCGCUGGAAACUGUCUGGCUAGAGUCCGGAAGGGGCGAGUGGAAUUCCUGGUGUAGCGGUGAAAUGCGCAGACUAUCAGGAGGAACACCAAUGGCGAAGGCAGCUCGCUGGAACGGUACUGACGC